GUAGGUGAACCUGCGGAAGGAUCAUUACUGAAUGGGGACUCCGGUCCCCGGGACAAGCCCCCGUCGAGCCUCUGGGCUCCCCGGGCGGCGACACCCCUCACCCUUUGUUUACCCUACCUCUGUUGCUUUGGCAAGGCUCCUGCCCGGGUGGUUCCGGGCUUGGGCUCUGCCAGAGGGCCCUAACUCGUGGAUAGUUUUUGUUUGUCUGAGUACGAUAUAAUCGUUUACAACUUUUAACAAUGGAUCUCUUGGCUCUG
rnacentral:misc_RNA from 1 species